rnacentral:tRNA from 3 species
GCCGGAUUAGCUCAGUUGGUAGAGCAACUGAUUUGUAAUCAGUGGGUCGGGAGUUCAAAUCUCUCAUCCGGCACCA